ACCUAGCUGGCUCAGUCAGUAGAACAUGUAACUCUUAAUCUCAGGGUCAUGAGUUCGAGCCCCAUGUUGGGCA
rnacentral:tRNA from 1 species